UCAGUGGUUCCGACAGCAGCUUGAGCAGCUGCUUGAUGAGAAAAGGACGGAUACAAAAUUUAAGAUUGAUAUUUGAAAAACUGAAGGACUAGUUCGCUAAUAUACAGACGGUCUUAGUUGAAAUUAUGAAUGUGGACCUCUCGAAUAUAAUUAUUAUAUGUAGCAAAACACUCAUAUAUAUUUCCUGUUUUAAACAUUUCAAAAACUAUUAGUUAUUCUGGAAUAUUCUCGACUUCUCACAUCUGGCAACUCCUGAAUUAUUUUUGCAAUCGACAGCAGCAAACUUCAGCUGUGAUUUUCUCUCCACUUAAAUCGCAAAUUAAAAGUAUUUUCUAUAAAAAAAAAACAAUUAUUUUAGCCACAAAACGUACGGAAAAUGGAAGUCUUUCACAAAUCAUUACUUAACGAGAGGCUUUCUUGGCGCGUACAGGUGAACACAUUUUGAACAACAAUCAUAGUAACAAGCUAAACGGUAAUGUAACAACAACACAUCGCGGAAAAAUAAAUAGCAUGCAAUGGUUGUCACACUGCCAACAACAACAACAACAAUAACGACAGCAAACUUAGCGAAUAAUACGAAUGCAUUUGUGUGGCUGGCGCUGUACACUGAGAAUGUAUGCGAGUCUGUGUGUGUGGGAGAGAAGAGGUGAGAACGAGAGGAGAUCGAACAGUGGGUACGAGUAAAUCGCUUGAAAAUAUAUGUAUUUAAAGUUAGUUGGGCUCAUUGGAACUCAUUGUCGUGCUGACACUGGCACCGACUGGUACAACAACAACAACGAAGAGGUUUCUACAAGUUUGCCUGAAUGUGUUCGCAAAACCAUAUCCAUAUGUUCACAUUCGCACAUAAAUACUAUUUUAGUAAUAAUGAGUGUAUUUUAACACGACCGUGUCGUCCAAUUCAGCAUCUUGACGUCGCAGCGUCACCGGGCCAUUGAGAAGUGUUUGAUUAUUUCGCGGACAUGCGAACUCUAAGUGCUACAUUUUUGUCGGCGCUCAACUCUCUCAACUGUUUUCUACUGAUGACGAGUUUUCUUCCAUUGAUUUCCAUUGAAAACAACUGAUAAGAGAUUGGUGGCUUAACAUACAUUGUUUGGAGUUUUGGGCGGGAGGGCUUGCCAAUGUGCUUUCAAGUAAUGAAAAUGAAUCUCCAAGGAUUAGGGAUGGUCACCGCAAGGAGCUUCGGUUGGAACUGGAUCAACACAAACAGCCUUUACUUUUAUGAAUAUUAAUUUUUUUCAAAAUACUGUCAAGUCAAGUCAAAUCAAAAUCUAAAUAAAUGA